CUAUAAAAAAAAGUACAAACCCUCAUUCCCAGACAUCUCUCUCACUCACUCUCUCAGAGAGUACUUACUCACGGUCAUGGAGGUCCAAAAAAGCAACACAGACCAUGUAGUCCUCAAUAUAGAACACCCAGAUCCCAAGCUCAAACAAUCACCCCAGAGAGACUCCAAUGAUGAUCCACAGAUGACGAUGAUGAAGAGUGGUAUGAAAAGGAAGAAGAAAACGAAGAAGAUGAUGAAGCACAAGGAAAGUACAGAAAGAAAAGGAAAAGGAAGAUAAAUAAGAGAGCUGUGAUUGAAUGGGCAUUGUUUCUCAUUAUAAUGACUUGUUUGGUAUGUUCUCUCACACAACCUUCUCUUAAAUAUGAGAAAAAGUGGGGUUUAGAGAUAUGGAAAUGGUGCUUAAUGGUCAUGGUGGUAUUCUGUGGUCGCCUUUUCUCUGGUUGGGUAGUGGGGUUUAUUGUAUUUCUCAUUGAAAGAAACUUCAUGCUUAGAGAAAAAGUACUAUACUUUGUCUAUGGUUUGCGUAAGAGUUUCCAAAACUGUGUUUGGCUUGGCCUUGUCUUAAUAGCAUGGAUGAUCAUGCUCCCUAAUUUUCACAAACAAAACAAGUUCCUCAUGAAGGUGUUUCGAACUCUUAUAGCGGUUCUCAUUGCGGCAACAAUAUGGUUGUUAAAGAUAGUAUUUGUGAAAGUCCUAGCUUCAUCUUUUCAUGUUGCUACAUUCUUUGAUCGAAUGAAAGAGAGUGUGUUUAAUCACUAUAUAUUGGAAACUCUAUCUGGGCCUCCAUUGGAUGAGGAAGAGAGGGACUUGCCUCGUCGAAGAUUACAGGCGUCGAAGACAUUGCCGGCGAGGCUGAGGGAUCAGACGUAUCCAUUCACAAGGUCGAAGAAGUAUGGGUCGAGGAGGAUUGAUAUGGAGAGACUGAGGAAGCUUAGCUCGGAGGCUAGGCCAUCGGCUUGGAGUGUGAAGAGGUUGGUGAGUUAUGUGAGGUCCUCGGGUUUGUCUACUAUUUCAAGGACUGUUGAUGAUUUUGGCAAGGCUGAGUCUGAGAUUAAUAGUGAAUGGGAGGCUAGGAAUUGUGCUCAGAGAGUAUUCAAGAACGUUGCAAAGUCUGAUGCCAAAUAUAUAGACGAGGAAGAUUUACUAAAGUUUUUGAAGAGUGAGGAGGUUCACACUAUAUUUCCUCUCUUUGAAGGAGCAUUGGAAACUGGAAGAAUCACAAAAUCUUCAUUCAGAAACUGGGUGGUCCAUGCCUAUGUUGAGCGUAAAGCUUUAGCUCAUUCCCUGAAUGAUACCAAGACGGCUGUCCAGCAACUUCACAAGUUGGCAAGCACGAUUGUGACUGUAAUUAUAACUGUGGUGUCCCUUCUGGUAAUGGGUUUGGCCACAACUAAGGUGAUCUUUGUAGUUACAUCUCAGCUACUGCUUGUGGGGUUCAUGUUCCAAAACAUGUGCAAAACUAUGUUUGAGUCCAUCAUUUUUGUGUUUGUGAUGCACCCUUUUGACGUUGGUGAUCGAUGUGUGGUUGAUGGCAUACAGAUGAUUGUUGAAGAGAUGAAUAUAUUGACAACAGUCUUCCUACGGUAUGAUAAUGAGAAAAUAUAUUACCCAAACUCUGUUCUUCUUACGAAGCCAAUUAGCAAUUUCAGAAGAAGUCCGGAUAUGGCCGAUGUUAUUGACUUCACCAUUGAUGUGUCUACUCAUAUAGAUGAUAUUAAUGCCCUGAAGAAGGCUAUAAGUAUACCUUGAAAGUAAGCCAAAGCAUUGGAGCCCGAAACAUGCUGUGAUAGUGAGGGAGAUUGAGAAUGUAGACAAGAUGAAGAUGGCUCUUUGUGUUCAACACACCA